UUUGGAUAGAUAAUCAAUAGAUAGUUCAAAUAUUUUUGGUGUUUUGAGUGUAUUUUAACUAUUUCAGACAUUUAUUUUUGACUAUUUGUAUAUAUUUUAAAGUAUUUUGGACAAUUUAAAAAUAUCUUAUAUAUUUUGGAUGUUUUUAAUAGACAUUAAAUCUAAAAUAUAUUUAUAUAAGGGGGUAUAGAAAUUAAUUUCGGAUACAUUCGGGUACCCGGAAUACUUUGGUUCGGGUCAGAUUCGGUUCCGGUUCUUUAGAUAGCAAAACUUUGAACCCGUUCGGAUAUUUAAUCAAUUUCGGUUUAGGUUCGGUACUAUUUUUUCGGGUCGGGUUCAGUUCGGUUCUUCGGAUUCGGAAUUUUGGCUCAGCCCUAGUUUUAAUAAUAUAGAUAUUCCAAAUAACUUCAUUAGUAAAUAAAUUAGGAAUAUUAAAAAAUGUAUAUAAUUAAAAUUGGUUUAAAUAUAUUAUAAUAUUUUGGUUUAAAAAUAUAUAUAUUAUACUUUGUAUGACAUAUGCAUGCUGUAGUAUCAGAUUAUAAAUUUUCAUUAUAAUAUAUGAAAACAUGAUUCUUAUUAAUACAAAUCUGACAUAGUAUAGGAAUACGACAGCAAAAUUAUACAUAAAUAUUUUUCCAGAAAAAAAAUAUACAUUAAUGGAAUACGUAAAUAUGUGCUUACUCAUGUUUUUAAAAAAAUAUAUGCAUACACAUAGAAGAAGCCGUGCAUAUCAUCCAUUGUCAAUGAAGAUUACACUAUGUGCAUAGUUUUAAUUAAUGGCCCAUUAUAGUAUGUGAUAACCUACUAUUGUGAAAAUUGGUUUACAUUAAACGUGAGCAAUCACUACAAGAAACCAUACCUUUAACGAGGAAAAAUUACGAGGAAAUAUAUUCCUCGUAAAUUUACGAGAAAAUUACUACGAUUUUACGACAAAACUGAAUUUCGUCGUAAAGUCGUAGUAAAGUUACAAGGAAAAUGUUUCGUGGUAAUUUACAUGUAAAUUUACGUCGAUUUUACGAGGAAAGAGAAAAUUCGUUGUAAAGUCCUUGUAACUUUACAAGGCUUUUACGACGAAACAUGUUACCAUUAAUUUUUGUGAAAACGUAUUUUAAGAAUGCUUUACCAAACUGAUACCCUCGGUUUAGAGAUUUUGGAAUAACUUGAUUACCUGCUAUCAAAGUUACACCUAGUGAACGAAUAGUUGCUAGAGAAGAAUCACUUUUGCAAGAAGAAGUGUGUAUCACUGAAGUGGAAGUAUCUGAACAACAAACUGAUGACAUCCUUCUAAUUGAUGUGGAUAACCGUCAAUAUGAAGAUCUUUUCGACGAUAUGACGGAUGAAGAAAGUGAAGAAGAGUUCGAUGCAAGCGAUGAUAAUCAUUGUACUGAUAUUGUUGAAAACUCGAAUGAUUCAGAAUGAUGUAAUAUAUGUUUUAAAUAUUUUAAAAAAAUAUAUAAAUCAGUUUAAGACUUAAUGCAAGUGUAUAUUGUUUGGUUAUAAUAAUUAUUUGUUGGCUUUUAAGGAUUUAAUUGGAGUUUAGGGUUUAAGAGAAAAUAGGAUAAAUGGGAGAAUGGGGGAAUGGGGUAAAAGGGAUAUGAGGUUAUAGGUAAGAGACUUUGGGGGUUAGGGAUUUGAUUUUUAGGGAUUCAGAUAUAGUCGUAGUAAAUUCGUCGUAAUGGAAAACACGGGCCUGGUAUAUUCCUUGUAAUACACGUGUCCUUAUAAAUUCGUUGUAAUCAUUUCCUUGUAAAUUCGUUGUAAAAAUUUCCUUGUAAAUUCGUUGUAAUGCUCCCUUGCAAAUUUGUUGUAACUCUAAAAACGCGGGCCUGGUAGAUUUGUCGUAAACAUGUGUCCUUGUAAAUUUGUUGUAAUUUUUUCUUUGUAAAUUCGUUGUAAUGCUUUCCUUGUGAAUUCGUUGUAACUUUACAAGGAUUUUUUUCACGAAACAUGUUACCAUUAUUUUUGGUGAAAACGUGUUUAAGCUGUUUUACCAAACUGAUUUUGUUGUAAGAAUUCUCAAGCAAGUUAACUUCAUUUCAUACCCUCGGUUUAGAGAUUACAGAAUAAUUUGAUUAUUUGCUAUCAAGUGGUUGUUUGAUUAUAGUACUUAUAACUUGCGUUUUAAGGAUUCAAUUGGAGUUUAGGGUUUAAGAAAAAAUAUGAUAAAGGGGAUGAUGUGGUAAAAGGGUAUGGUGUAAAUAGAUAAGUGAUUUUGGGGUUUAGGGAUUUGAUUUUCGGGGUUUCAGAUAUAGUCCUAGUAAAUUCGUCGUAAUAGAAAACACACGGGCCUGGUAGAUUCCUCGUAAUAUAUGUGUCCUUGUAAAUUCGUUGUAAUGCUUUCCUUGUAAUUUCAUUGUAAAGCUUUCCUUGUAAAUUCGUCGUAAAAUUUUCCUUGUAAAUUCGUCGUAAAUAUUCCUUGUAAAUUCAUUGUAAUUCUAAAAACGCGGACCUGGUAGAUUCCUCGUAACACUAAAAACGCGGGCAUGGUAGAUUCCUCGUAAAAUUACGACGACUUUACGAGGAAUGUUGUUUUCUUAUAUAAACUCGACACAUGAAUGAGGAAUGCCUCCUUCAUUCAUCUCAAACCACUCCUCUCCUUCUCUCAAAGGUGGCUCCUAAAAAGAUGGAACUGACGGUAUGAAUAAGCUUCAUCAAUGAAGCCACAAGGAAGACUUCAUCCUACUCUUCGAGACGGAACCCAUAGAUGAAGUACGAGACUCUCCAUGAAGAAACACCUCCAACAACUACUUCGACGGCGUUCUCCCUUAGCUUUUUAUUUUUCAAUUUUUUUGUUUUCUAUUAGUAAUUUGAAUAUUAUUUUAUGAAAUUUAUAUAUUUUUUAAAAAAAAUAUUUUAAUUUUCAAUAUUUUAUUUUAUAAAUUAUAUAUUUUGAUUUUGAAUA